rnacentral:rRNA from 1 species
UACAGAGGUCUCAAGCGUUGUUCGGAUUCAUUGGGCGUAAAGGGCGCGUAGGCGGCGGGGUCAGUCGGGUGUGAAAUCUUGGGGCUUAACCCCGAAACGGCACUCGAAACUGCCCGGCUGGAGGGCCGGAGAGGAGAUCGGAAUUCACGGUGUAGCAGUGAAAUGCGUAGAUAUCGUGAGGAAGACCAGUGGCGAAGGCGGAUCUCUGGACAGCUCCUGACGCUGAGGCGCGAAGGCUAGGGGAGCAAACGGG